rnacentral:rRNA from 1 species
CGGGGUGAUGGUGCUUGCACUAUCACUUAGCGGCGGACGGGUGAGUAAUGCUUAGGAAUCUGCCUAUUAGUGGGGGACAACAUCUCGAAAGGGAUGCUAAUACCGCAUACGUCCUACGGGACAAAGCAGGGGAUCACUUGUGACCUUGCGCUAAUAGAUGAGCCUAAGUCGGAUUAGCUAGUUGGUGGGGUAAAGGCCUACCAAGGCGACUAUCUGUAGCGGGUCUGAUAUGAUGAUCCGCCUGAUGGGACUGAGACACGGCCCAAACUCCUACGGGAGGCAGCUUUGGGGAAUAUUGGACAAUUAGGGGAACCCUGAUCCAGCCAUGCCGCGUGUGUGAAGAAGGCCUUAUGGUUGUAAAGCACUUUAAGCGAGGAGGAGGCUCUUUUGGUUAAUACCCAAGAUGAGUGGACGUUACUCGCAGAAUAAGCACCGGCUAACUCUGUGCCCCCCCCGCGCGGUAAUACAGAGGGUGCAAGCGUUAAUCGGAUUUACUGGGCGUAAAGCGCGCGUAGGCGGCCAAUUAAAGUCAAAUGUGAAAUCCCCCGAGCUUAACUUGCGAAUUGCAUUCUGAUACUGGUUGGCUAGAGUGUGGGAGAGGAUGGGUAGAAUUCUAGGUGUAGCGGUUGAAAUGCAUAGAGAUCUGGAGGAAUACCGAUGGCGAAGGCAGCCUUCUGGCCUAACUCUGACGCUGACGAGCCAAAUCCUGGUGAGCCACACAUGAUUACAGACCUCGGUAGUCAGUGACGAAGACGAUGUUUUGCAUCCGUAUUGGCCUUUUGACGCU